rnacentral:rRNA from 1 species
GAUGAACGCUGGCGGCGUGCCUAAUACAUGCAAGUCGAGCGAACGGACGAGAAGCUUGCUUCUCUGAUGUUAGCGGCGGACGGGUGAGUAAAACGUGGAUAACCUACCUAUAAGACUGGGAUAACUUCGGGAAACCGUAGCUAAUACCGGAUAAUAUUUUGAACCGCAUGGUUCAAAAGUGAAAGACGGUCUUGCUGUCACUUAUAGAUGGAUCCGCGCUGCAUUAGCUAGUUGGUAAGGUAACGGCUUACCAAGGCAACGAUGCAUAGCCGACCUGAGAGGGUGAUCGGCCACACUGGAACUGAGACACGGUCCAGACUCCUACGGGAGGCAGCAGUAGGGAAUCUUCCGAAAUGGGCGAAAGCCUGACGGAGCAACGCCGCGUGAGUGAUGAAGGUCUUCGGAUCGUAAAACUCUGUUAUUAGGGAAGAACAUAUGUGUAAGUAACUGUGCACAUCUUGACGGUACCUAAUCAGAAAGCCACGGCUAACUACGUG